rnacentral:rRNA from 1 species
GAUGAACGCUGGCGGCGUGCCUAAUACAUGCAAGUCGAGCGAACAGACGAGGAGCUUGCUCCUCUGACGUUAGCGGCGGACGGGUGAGUAACACGUGGAUAACCUACCUAUAAGACUGGGAUAACUUCGGGAAACCGGAGCUAAUACCGGAUAAUAUAUUGAACCGCAUGGUUCAAUAGUGAAAGACGGUUUUGCUGUCACUUAUAGAUGGAUCCGCGCCGCAUUAGCUAGUUGGUAAGGUAACGGCUUACCAAGGCAACGAUGCUUAGCCGACCCGAGAGGGUGAUCGGCCACACUGGAACUGAGACACGGUCCAGACUCCUACGGGAGGCAGCAGUAGGGAAUCGUCCGCAAUGGGCGAGAGCUUGACGGAGCAACGCCGCGUGAGUGAUGAAGGUCUUCGGAUCGUAAAACUCUGUUAUUAGGGAAGAACAAAUGUGUAAGUAACUAUGCACGUCUUGACGGUACCUAAUCAGAAAGCCACGGCUAACUACGUG